GAUGAACGCUGGCGGCGUGCCUAAUACAUGCGAGUCGAGCGAACGGACGAGAAGCUUGCUUCUCUGAUGUUAGCGGCGGACGGGUGAGUAACACGUGGAUAACCUACCUAUAAGACUGGGAUAACUUCGGGAAACCGGAGCUAAUACCGGAUAAUAUUUUGAACCGCAUGGUUCAAAAGUGAAAGACGGUCUUGCUGCCACUUAUAGAUGGAUCCGCGCUGCAUUAGCUAGUUGGUAAGGUAACGGCUUACCAAGGCAACGAUGCAUAGCCGACCUGAGAGGGUGAUCGGCCACACUGGAACUGAGACACGGUCCAGACUCCUACGGGAGGCAGCAGUAGGGAAUCUUCCGCAAUGGGCGAAGGCCUGACGGAGCAACGCCGCGUGAGUGAUGAAGGUCUUCGGAUCGUAAAACUCUGUUAUUAGGGAAGAACAUAUGUGUAAGUAACUGUGCACAUCUUGACGGUACCUAAUCAGAAAGCCACGGCUAACUACGUG
rnacentral:rRNA from 1 species